UGGGCUGGGUUUUUGUUAGGGUCAUUGGGUCAGGUUAGGUAGGUGUAGGUUCUUGGCCCAGUAGUUGGUGUAGCCCACUUUCCUUGGCGGCCUAGCCCAUUUCUGGCUUCUUUAACUACAUAAUUUUGUUCUUCCACCCUUUGGGCUAAAUGAGUUACUUGGAUCAGAGAAUUGGGCCAGAUGAAAAUGUCGGGUUGUUGCAAUCGGAUCUCAGCCUUGAUUUUUGGUUUUAAACCAUUAAGAAAAGCGGCGGUGAGCACCUCCUCUCUUUCCCUGACUAUUAAAGCUGCCGCCUCCUUAAACCAGCGGAGAUACUCCAGCACGUCCUAGUUUGCCGUGUUGCCAUCAAUAACUCCAACGGGCUAACCUCCUAGGCUCCACUAAAGCACUAGCAAAGGGAGACUUUAAACUUCGACCACGUUGUCAUUGCUCCUCGCGUCUCCAUCCAUUGAUACCAAUAGAGGGCUUCUCCCUCCAUACAUAGUGCCGUCGCCGACACCCUUUGUUUGUCGUUGACCUUAUUAAUGGUGAAAUAGUGCUCCACAUGAAAGAUCCAUCCAUACGAGUCUUCGCCGGAGAAGAUGGGUAGCUCCAGUUUCCGACCUCCCCACUCGCGGCGGCCCCAAGCUUGUCUGUUUUGGUACCAUCCUUCUCCUCUGUGGUUUCCUGUGUCCCGAUGAACCUCGUGUUCAUUAUGUUCCCCACCUUCCCUGUGAAGCUUGUGCUCAGCUCAUCCACCACCGUGGUUUCCUCUAGUUUCCUUAUGUCGCUUUGGAUUGUUUUGGCUUUCCUUGCCCCUGCUCGAUUUUCCAGAUAAGUUCCUUCAUCGCUCUUCUUCCUCUUCGUCUUUUUUUCGCAUCCAAUUCUACAUAUCCAUCAAGAUUUCCCUCAUUGAGUUUACUGUUUCAGACACUCUAGCAAAAUCCUUCUCUACGUUAUCCAAGCUGCCCUCCAUCUUUGUACCAACCAUGCCCCGCAAUCGCCGAGCUCUGAUACCAAAUUGAUGAACACCAACCUUCCAGACUCACGUUUGACAGCAAAUAAUAAAAGUACAAGCAAUCACUCAAUCACAAGCAAUACUCUUAAUUGAAAGAAACUGGAAUAAAGCUAUAUUAAUGAAAAUGAGUUCGUAAUAACAGGAAUGGAAAUAACAAAAUAGAAACAACAAACAGAAAAUGAAAAUAGACUCAGCAUAACACUGAACUUCGAAGGUCAGUCCCUCUUAUUCAACUCUACUAUUUUUCCAUAUCCCAUCCUACGCUACUGCUCCCGCGCUAAAUUCCGUUUCCCACAAAUUCUAACAAAUGCAUCACACCCGUCACUCUUUCAUUGCGCCAACCAAUUAAUUCAUAACAAAUUCAUCACACACGUCACCCUUUUAUUGCCAUCCAUCAAUCCUUCAUUGCUGCCAUCCGUCAACUCUUUAUUGUGCCAUCUGCUUCUUUCUUUGCUACCUUGCCACCUGUCCAGCUUUGUCAUACCUUUCUUUCCCAUUUUGCCUUUUUCUGGUCCAUCACUAUAGCUUUCAUAUCAUUUACAAAUUGUACUUACUUUUUGCUUUGUCAUCUAGGUAAGCAGCUGGCAGAUCCCUAAUAAGGUGACAGAAUUUAGAAAGAAGCAGGAUGAUGGCAUUUCAAAAGAUCAUUUAAUGUCAAUGCCUAGUACUAACAUCACGAUUGAAAAAGCAUCUGCUCCAACAACUUUGAGUGCUUCGGCUGUUAACACAGGCGGACAUGACGCCACAACUCUGAGAACCUUAGGGCCAAGAUCAUCAUCUGCCCUGGAUUUGAUCAAGAAGAAGCUGCAUGACUCUGGAACUCCUGUUACUUCCUUAGCUGCUCCAGUUACAUCAGGAAUAGUGGCCUCAAAAUUAAAUAGCUCUAAAGCUAUUGAGGUUGCAGUGAAGGGCUUGCCAAAUGAGAACAACAAAAAAAGUUGAAAGAUGCUAAUGGUGACAGUAAACAUGUCUGACUCUUCUUCAGAUUCAAAGGAUGAAGAUAGUGGACCAUCAAAGGAGGAUUGCAUUACUAAAUUUAAGGAAAUGCUUAAGGAAAGAGGAGUGGCACCAUUCUCAAAAUGGGAGAAGGAACUUCCAAAGAAUGUAUUUGAUCCCCGUUUUAAGUCUAUGUAUAUUGUGCUAGAUGGGAAUAUUUCUCAUUCAUACUGUGAUGAGUUUGCUGCUUUGCUGAUUGGGAAAGGCAUUUUCGGUUGUAGGCCAUCCCAAGUCAAUCGGUCGGGAGGGCCUUGUUUGAACCUAUGUUAAGACAUGUGCUGAGGAGAAAGGUAAGGAAAAAUAACAGCUCAGAAGGCUGCAAUAGGGGGAUUCAAGCAGUUACUUGAAGAAGCAUUAGAGGAUAUUGACUACAACACUGAUUAUCAGACAUUCAGAAAGAAAUGGGGCAGUGAUCCACGAUUUGAGGCAUUAGAUCAUUUAAGGCCGCCCUUCAGCUUCUUCUGCCUGGAAAAAGGGUUGAGGGCCGAAUAUCUCCUGCUGGGAACCGACCUGUUUACAAGGCAAGAGCUCUUAUUUCAAAACUGACCGAGGAAAAAAAUAAUGCAAUUCAACAAAAUAACAAGCUUCGUCAGGAACUGGUGAGGGAUUGGCAUUUGAUUUCAUCUUUGUAGUUUAGACUUAUUACUUUUACUCUCGCCAACAUUUUCUUGUUUUUGUGGUUAUCUAUUCAUCUCCUAAGUUGUAAGUAGAUUUUAAAAACCUUCAGAUGGAGA